GACGAACCGUGCGAACGUUGUUCGGAAUCACUGGGCUUAAAGGGCGCGUAGGCGGCCCGCUAAGUCGAACGUGAAAUCCCCGAGCUUAACUCGGGAACUGCGUCCGAUACUGGCGGGCUUGAAUCCGGGAGAGGGAUGCGGAAUUCCAGGUGUAGCGGUGAAAUGCGUAGAUAUCAGGAGGAACACCAACGGCGAAGGCAGCUCGCUGGGACGGUACUGACACUGAGGCGCGAAAGCGUGGGGAGCGAACAGG
rnacentral:rRNA from 1 species